rnacentral:rRNA from 1 species
GACGAACGCUGGCGGCGUGCUUAACACAUGCAAGUCGAGCGGUAAGGCCCUUUCGGGGGUACACGAGCGGCGAACGGGUGAGUAACACGUGGGUGACCUGCCCUCAGCUCUGGGAUAAGCCUGGGAAACCGGGUCUAAUACCGGAUAUGACUCCAUGACGCAUGUUGGUGGGGUGGAAAGCCUUGUGCGGCUGAGGAUGGGCCCGCCGGCCUAUCAGCUUGUUGGUGGGGUGAUGGCCUACCAAGGCGACGA